rnacentral:rRNA from 1 species
ACGGAAGGCAGCAGUGGGGAAUCUUGCGCAAUGGGCGAAAGCCUGACGCAGCGACGCCGCGUGAGUGAUGAAGGCCCUCGGGUUGUAAAGCUCUGUGGAGGGGGACGAAUAAGUGUUGGCUAAUAUCCAGCAUGAUGACGGUACCCCUUUAGCAAGCACCGGCUAACUCUGUGCCAGCAGCCGCGGUAAGACAGAGGGUGCAAACGUUGUUCGGAAUUACUGGGCGUAAAGCGCGUGUAGGCUGCCCCGAAAGUCAGGUGUGAAAGCCCUGGGCUCAACCCAGGAAGUGCACUUGAAACUUCGGGGCUCGAGUUCUGGAGAGGAUGGCGGAAUUCUCGGUGUAGAGGUGAAAUUCGUAGAUAUCGAGAGGAACACCGGUGGCGAAGGCGGCUAUCUGGACAGUGACUGACGCUGAGACGCGAAAGCGUGGGGAGCAAACAGGAUUAGAUACCCUGGUA